rnacentral:rRNA from 1 species
UGGGGAAUCUUGCACAAUGGGGGAAACCCUGAUGCAGCGACGCCGCGUGAGCGAUGAAGGUUUUCGAAUCGUAAAGCUCUGUCCUAUGGGAAGAUAAUGACGGUACCAUGGGAGGAAGCCCCGGCUAACUACGUGCCAGCAGCCGCGGUAAUACGUAGGGGGCGAGCGUUGUCCGGAAUUACUGGGCGUAAAGGGUUCGCAGGCGGCAUGGCAAGUCCGAUGUAAAAGGCGAAGGCUCAACCUUCGUAAGCAUCGGAAACUGUCAAGCUUGAGUGAAGGAGAGGCAAGUGGAAUUCCUAGUGUAGCGGUGGAAUGCGUAGAUAUUAGGAGGAAUACCGGUGGCGAAGGCGACUUGCUGGACUUCAAUUGACGCUGAGGAACGAAAGCGUGGGUAGCAAACAGG